AUAAACCUUUGCCUUUUGUCCAUUCUUAAUGCUGUUUUAUACUCAUGUCUGUAGUUAGAAAUCACACAGUACAGAAGUAAAUAAACUAAUUAAUAAUCAUAAUUUGUUAUAUAUAUAUAUAUAUACAUAUGUAUGAUUGGUAGAAGAUGAUGAUUAAGGAAUCAAAAUCCCAUAAAAAAGACAAGAAAAUCUUUUCAGUGUCCCAAGUGAAAGUGGUAGGGAUGGGACCAUGUUACCUCCCAAGAACACCACACACAUGCAUGGAGAACCCUAC
rnacentral:lncRNA from 1 species